AAAGUAAGCUGGCUUGUCGCUUUGGUGCUUAAUAGGAAGAGGAUGAUCGAAUAGCAUGUUGCGUGCAGCAUGUUUUCCUUAUUAAGGAAGCGGUCAGCUAUCCGUUUGGGUUAGCCGAAGAGGAAAGUCCGGGCAAUAGAGAGCGCCCUACUUCCUAACGGGAAGGCAUGGGGUAGUAGAUGACCCUGUGACAGCAAGUGCCACAGAAAAUAAACCGCUUGUUACAUUAGCUGAUGAUGUAGCAAGUAAGGGUGAAACGGUGCGGUAAGAGCGCACCGCUCUAUUGGUGACAAUAGAGGCAUGGUAAACCUUAGGGAUUGCAAGGCCAAGUAGGCAUACCUCUGCUUGCGUAGGUAAGUAGGACGGGCUGCUCGUCUGUUUUUCUUUUAUUAGAAAGGGUAUGCGGGUAGGCUGCUAGAGGGUCUAAGUGAUUAGGCCCCCAGAUAAAUGACAAGCAAGUGUAUCUGUUUUGCACUACAGAACCCGGCUUAUAGGCUUACUUUUCUU
rnacentral:RNase_P_RNA from 1 species